rnacentral:misc_RNA from 1 species
AGCACCUUCCCAAGAAUCUAUCUAAUACAUCAAAAAUGAUUUCCAAACAUUACCCAUCAGAAGUCAGAAACCAUUUGUCUCUGUCUCAGUUUCAUUUCCACCCCCAAGACUGAACCAUACCAUGCCAUUCAGCACGUUAUAUGAGCUAGUUUACUUAGGAAAGUAGUUCAAGAAGCUCUCAAAUAUCUUCUUAUUCUAAAUUACAAUUAGCUUCACUUUACCAUUAUGAAACAUCUCAACUACUAAGACAGCACACAUCACUAAACAGCAGAAAUCCAGUAAACAAGUGUAGGAACAUCAGGGAAGAUUGAAGCAUUCAAAUAAGUUUUCACAAAACAUCAUAUGGCCCUAUAGGAGAACAUAUCAACAAAUACGCCCAUUACUAUAAUAGAGAAUAAUUUUAAUCAGAGAUGUUCAGAGGUCAAUCACAUCAAAUUAAUCCCAAGCAUUGAAACAAAAAGCAGUUAAUAAAAAAGAAAAUCCUGAAUCUUUGUAGCCCUUUGGCCUAUUCAAGCUUAUGAACUUGGGAAAACAAGAACCUUUAUGAAACUGAACUCCAUUCUACUCUUUUGCUAAGUUCAAUUUUGUCACGUUCUCAAAAACUGAAAGAACAUAAGCAUAAACAAAAUUUGUAUCUAUUUUCGUCCAUCACUUGUUUUCUUAGCAAUACAAGCAUUUCUAACUCUAGAAGAAAUGAUGUCAUGCCAUUGACCAUCAGAUGACAUCUGCAGUUUUAUGCACAUGAUCAUACACUAAAAAAAUGGAAUCAGCUCAUCAUCGGAAAGAAUGUAUCAACAAGCAUAUAUUUGUAUAUUACAAUGAACUAAGAAACUCUGUGACAUAAUAACAUAUCAAUUUUGCACCUGUAAAAAGUUUGAAUGCUGU